AGCUUUGUGCAGUGGUGGUAUCGUAGCCAAUGAAGUUUAUCAGAGGUGCGAUUAUUACUAAUUAAAAUAGCACAUUGCAACUUAGCUGUGUGGAGCCUCCUAAGAAUCCAAGUAAGAUAAUUCUUAU
rnacentral:snRNA from 1 species